rnacentral:rRNA from 1 species
AUUGAACGCUGGCGGAAUGCUUUACACAUGCAAGUCGAACGGUAGAGGGGGCAACCCCUCGAGAGUGGCGAACGGGUGAGUAAUAUAUCGGAACGUGCCCAGUCGUGGGGGAUCACGUAGCGAAAGUUACGCUAAUACCGCAUACGAUCUAAGGAUGCAAGCGGGGGAUCGCAAGACCUCGCGCGAUUGGAGCGGCCGAUAUCAGAUUAGGUAGUUGGUGGGGUAAAGGCGCGCCAAGCCAACGAUCUGUAGCUGGUCUGAGAGGACGACCAGCCACACUGGAACUGAAACACGGUCCAGACUCCAACGGGAGGCAGCAGUGGGGAAUUUUGGACAAUGGACGCAAGUCUGAUCCAGCCAUUCCGCGUGCAGGAUGAAGGCCCUCGGGUUGUAAACUGCUUUUGUACGGAACGAAAAGGUCUCUCUUAAUACGGGGGGCUCAUGACGGUACCGUAAGAAUAAGCACCGGCUAACUACGUGCCAGCCGCCGCAGUAA